rnacentral:rRNA from 1 species
UACGUAGGUGGCAAGCGUUGUCCGGAUUUAUUGGGUUUAAAGGGUGCGUAGGCGGCCUUGUAAGUCAGUGCUGAAAUAUCCCGGCUUAACCGGGAGGGUGGCAUUGAUACUGCAGGGCUUGAGUAAAGUUGAGGUUGGCGGAAUUGACGGUGUAGCGGUGAAAUGCUUAGAUAUCGUCAAGAACACCGAUAGUGAAGACAGCUAACUAGCUACUACUCUGAGGACGAAAGUGUGGGGAGUCAAACAGGGAUUAAGAUACCCU